GCCUAGAUAGCUCAGUCGGUAGAGCAAAGGACUGAAAAUCCUUGUGUCGCUGGUUCGAUUCCGGCUCUGGGCACCA
rnacentral:tRNA from 1 species